rnacentral:lncRNA from 1 species
AAAGAGAUGGGACUGACCAUCCUUUGACCUUUCACUUUCCCUCUGCUUCCUUAUAGUCCCUAAUCACCCCUGCAAGGUGAACAAUGGUGGCUGCAGCAACUUGUGUCUGCUUUCUCCUGGUGGGGGCCACAAAUGUGCCUGUCCCACCAACUUCUACCUGGGAGGUGAUGGGCGUACAUGUGUGUCCAACUGUACAGCCAGUCAGUUCGUGUGUAAGAAUGAUAAGUGUAUCCCCUUCUGGUGGAAAUGUGACACAGAGGAUGACUGUGGUGACCACUCUGACGAACCUCACGAUUGUCCUGAGUUCAAGUGCCGUCCAGGGCAAUUUCAGUGCUCAACUGGUAUCUGCACGAACCCAGCCUUCAUAUGUGAUGGUGACAAUGAUUGUCAGGACAACAGUGAUGAGGCCAAUUGUGGUAAGGGAAUUGACCAGUCUCCCCUGUCCUGGCCCACACAGAGGGCCAGAUUCUCUGUACACCUGA